CCUANGGGGGGCUGCAGUCGAGAAUAUUUGUCAAUGUACGAAAGUAUGAACAUGCGACGCCGCGUGGAGGAUGAAGGCCUUCGGGUUGUAAACUCCUGUCAUGAGGGAAUAAAUGCAUGCUGGCUAAUACCCGGCAUGCUUGACAGUACCUCAAGAGGAAGUCACGGCUAACUCUGUGCCAGCAGCCGCGGUAAUACAGAGGUGGCAAGUGUUGUUCGGAUUUACUGGGCGUAAAGGGUUCGCAGGCGGCUUUGUGUGUCAGAUGUGAAAGCCCACGGCUUAACCGUGGAAAUGCAUUUGAAACUACAGGGCUAGAGUACGGGAGAGGAGAGGGGAAUUCAUGGUGUAGCGGUGAAAUGCGUAGAUAUCAUGAAGAACACCGGUGGCGAAAGCGCCUCUCAGGACCGAUACUGACGCUCAUGAACGAAAGCCAGGGGAGCAAAGAGGAUUAGAUACCCGGNUANUC
rnacentral:rRNA from 1 species